ensembl:lncRNA
UAAUAUAUGCAAGUUGCCAAUGAGAUAUUUCUUUCAUACUGCUCAUAAGCCUUGAAUUUUAAGACAGUAUCCUUUCUCAAAAGUUUGGGGCCAGUAAGAUUUUUAAAUGUUUUUUUUUUUUUUUUUGUAUAAGAGUUUAUUGUGUUCACCAAGGCUGCAUGUAUUUGAUCAAAAAUACAGGAAAAUAUUGUAAACAUAUCAUUAGAAAUAAUCAUUUUAAAUAACUGUUUUCUGUCUUAUUCUUUCAUAUUUUAAAGUGUAAUUUAUUCCUGUGAUGACAAAAAUGAAUUUUUAGCAGCCAUUACUGAAAUCCUUCAAAAACCAUUCUAAUAUGCUGAAUUAUUAUUAUUAUAAUUAAUAUUAUUUGCUGAAGUAACAUUUCCUAUUAUUAUUAUCCACAUGGAAAACAGUUGUUCUGCUUAAUCUUUGUGUGGAAUUCAUGAUACAUUUUCCCUAGGAUUUUUAGAUGAAUAGAGAGUUCAAAAGAACAUAAUUUACUUGAAAUAAAAAUCUUUUAUAACAUUAUAAAUAUCUAUACAGUGUAAUUAUUAAUCGAUUUAAUGCAUCAAUGCAAAAUAGAAGUGUUAAUUUCUUACUAAUCCCAAACUUUUAUGCACAGUUUAUCAUAUAAACUACUUUAUAUGCAAUCAAUUAUUACAAUAAUCUGUGAGAUAAUUUGUCAAAAAAUCAAUAUAUUCUUUUAAACGCAGUAUACCUUCCACUGAAGGGAAAUGGCUGUCCACAAGGUGGCGCUACUUAGUUAAUGUACUUAGGCUGAAACAGGGAAUUGUUUUGUUUUAGUGACGGUGGAAAUCCGAGAUGGCUCGCUGGUGUUUUCCUUGCAUGCGUCAGGAUCUCCACAUGGCUUGGCUGGUCACACCACACAGACUAGUUCUCGGGUUGCAAGCUUCCACAAAAACUCCAUCACCCGAGUGCUUUGGAAGUUGUAUGGUCUAAAUGAGAAGGCUGUUUAAUAAUUUACCUGGUGAUAUAUCACGUUCCUCCCAAUUAUAUGGAGACCUAGAAAAUUGGCUGUUCUUUUUGUCCUGAAGGAGAUUGAGAUGGUCUGACAUUAGCAGUUGUAAUUGUUGUAAAGAUGUGCCUUUCACAUAGGCUAUGUCAAAGAAACAUUAGAAUGCUAUACUAUACUUUU